UACGAAGGGGGCUAGCGUUGCUCGGAAUCACUGGGCGUAAAGGGUGCGUAGGCGGGUCUUUAAGUCAGGGGUGAAAUCCUGGAGCUCAACUCCAGAACUGCCUUUGAUACUGAAGAUCUUGACUUCGGGAGAGGUGAGUGGAACUGCGAGUGUAGAGGUGAAAUUCGUAGAUAUUCGCAAGAACACCAGUGGCGAAGGCGGCUCACUGGCCCGAUACUGACGCUGAGGCACGAAAGCGUGGGGAGCAAACAGG
rnacentral:rRNA from 1 species